GACGAACGCUGGCGGCGUGCUUAACACAUGCAAGUCGAACGGAAAGGCCCUGCUUUUGUGGGGUGCUCGAGUGGCGAACGGGUGAGUAACACGUGAGUAACCUGCCCUUGACUUUGGGAUAACUUCAGGAAACUGGGGCUAAUACCGGAUAGGAGCUCCUGCUGCAUGGUGGGGGUUGGAAAGUUUCGGCGGUUGGGGAUGAACUCGCGGCUUAUCAGCUUGUUGGUGGGGUAGUGGCUUACCAAGGCUUUGACGGGUAGCCGGCCUGAGAGGGUGACCGGCCACAUUGGGACUGAGAUACGGCCCAGACUCCUACGGGAGGCAGCAGUGGCGAAUAUUGCACAAUGGGCGGAAGCCUGAUGCAGCAACGCCGCGUGCGGGAUGACGGCCUUCGGGUUGUAAACCGCUUUCGCCUGUGACGAAGCGUGAGUGACGGUAAUGGGUAAAGAAGCACCGGCUAACCACGUG
rnacentral:rRNA from 1 species